rnacentral:rRNA from 1 species
GACGAACGCUGGCGGCGUGCUUAACACAUGCAAGUCGAACGCUGAAGCUCAGCUUUUGUUGGGUGGAUGAGUGGCGAACGGGUGAGUAACACGUGAGUAACCUGCCCCCUUCUUUGGGAUAACGCCCGGAAACGGGUGCUAAUACUGGAUAUUCACUGGUCUUCGCAUGGGGGUUGGUGGAAAGGGUUUUUCUGGUGGGGGAUGGGCUCGCGGCCUAUCAGCUUGUUGGUGGGGUGAUGGCCUACCAAGGCUUUGACGGGUAGCCGGCCUGAGAGGGUGACCGGUCACAUUGGGACUGAGAUACGGCCCAGACUCCUACGGGAGGCAGCAGUGGGGAAUAUUGCAAAAUGGGCGCAAGCCUGAUGCAGCGACGCCGCGUGAGGGAUGGAGGCCUUCGGGUUGUGAACCUCUUUCGCUCAUGGUCAAGCCGCAACAAUGGUUGUGGUGAGGGUAGUGGGUAAAGAAGCGCCGGCUAACUACGUG